AGAGUUUGAUCAUGGCUCAGAUUGAACGCUGGCGGCAGGCCUAACACAUGCAAGUCGAGCGGUAGCACAGAGAGCUUGCUCUCGGGUGACGAGCGGCGGACGGGUGAGUAAUGUCUGGGAAACUGCCUGAUGGAGGGGGAUAACUACUGGAAACGGUAGCUAAUACCGCAUAAUGUCGCAAGACCAAAGUGGGGGACCUUCGGGCCUCAUGCCAUCAGAUGUGCCCAGAUGGGAUUAGCUAGUAGGUGGGGUAACGGCUCACCUAGGCGACGAUCCCUAGCUGGUCUGAGAGGAUGACCAGCCACACUGGAACUGAGACACGGUCCAGACUCCUACGGGAGGCAGCAGUGGGGAAUAUUGCACAAUGGGCGCAAGCCUGAUGCAGCCAUGCCGCGUGUAUGAAGAAGGCCUUCGGGUUGUAAAGUACUUUCAGCGGGGAGGAAGGCGAUAAGGUUAAUAACCUUGUCGAUUGACGUUACCCGCAGAAGAAGCACCGGCUAACUCCGUGCCAGCAGCCGCGGUAAUACGGAGGGUGCAAGCGUUAAUCGGAAUUACUGGGCGUAAAGCGCACGCAGGCGGUCUGUCAAGUCGGAUGUGAAAUCCCCGGGCUCAACCUGGGAACUGCAUUCGAAACUGGCAGGCUAGAGUCUUGUAGAGGGGGGUAGAAUUCCAGGUGUAGCGGUGAAAUGCGUAGAGAUCUGGAGGAAUACCGGUGGCGAAGGCGGCCCCCUGGACAAAGACUGACGCUCAGGUGCGAAAGCGUGGGGAGCAAACAGGAUUAGAUACCCUGGUAGUCCACGCCGUAAACGAUGUCGAUUUGGAGGUUGUGCCCUUGAGGCGUGGCUUCCGGAGCUAACGCGUUAAAUCGACCGCCUGGGGAGUACGGCCGCAAGGUUAAAACUCAAAUGAAUUGACGGGGGCCCGCACAAGCGGUGGAGCAUGUGGUUUAAUUCGAUGCAACGCGAAGAACCUUACCUGGUCUUGACAUCCACAGAACUUUCCAGAGAUGGAUUGGUGCCUUCGGGAACUGUGAGACAGGUGCUGCAUGGCUGUCGUCAGCUCGUGUUGUGAAAUGUUGGGUUAAGUCCCGCAACGAGCGCAACCCUUAUCCUUUGUUGCCAGCGGUCCGGCCGGGAACUCAAAGGAGACUGCCAGUGAUAAACUGGAGGAAGGUGGGGAUGACGUCAAGUCAUCAUGGCCCUUACGACCAGGGCUACACACGUGCUACAAUGGCAUAUACAAAGAGAAGCGACCUCGCGAGAGCAAGCGGACCUCAUAAAGUAUGUCGUAGUCCGGAUUGGAGUCUGCAACUCGACUCCAUGAAGUCGGAAU
rnacentral:rRNA from 1 species